AGCGAACGCUGGCGGCAGGCCUAACACAUGCAAGUCGAACGAACCUUUCGGGGUUAGUGGCGGAAGGGUGAGUAAAACGUUGGAACGCGCCCUUAGGUUCGGGAUCACUAAGGGAAACUUGUGCUAAUACCGAAUGUGCCCUUCGGGGGAAAGAUUUACUGCGCUGAGAGGGGCCCGCGUCUGCUUAGAUAGUUGGGUGAGGUAAUGGCCCAACACGGCGACGGUGAGUAGCUGGUCAGAGAGGAUGAUCCGCCACAGUGGGACUGAGACACGGCCCAAACUCCUGCGGGAGGCAGCAGUGGGGAAUCUUGCGCAAUGGGCGAAAGCCUGACGCAGCCAUGCCGCGUGAAUGAUGAAGGUCUUAGGAGUGUAAUAUUCUUUCACCGGGGAAGGUAAUGACGGUACCCGGAGAAGAAGCCCCGGCUAACUUCGUG
rnacentral:rRNA from 1 species